GAGGACCGAGUAGUCCUGGGCCACCUCCCGCCUCUGCUGUCAGAAGCAGCAGCUGCCGCCGUGGAAUCCAAAAUUUCGGGAGCUGUGUCCCUUUCCUCAUGUAACACGAGUAGUCUUGGACGGCUGGAGUGCAGUGGCGUGAUCAUAGCUCACUGUCAACUUUGAACACUUGGGCUCAAGCUAUCCUCCCUCAGCCUCCCAAGGUGGGAGGUACAGAUCUGGGCAUAGGAACCAAUCAGAAACAAUCGCUUCAGCAAUCAAGACCAUUGU